UACGAAGGGGGCUAGCGUUGCUCGGAAUCACUGGGCGUAAAGGGCGCGUAGGCGGGCUUUUAAGUCAGGGGUGAAAUCCUGGAGCUCAACUCCAGAACUGCCUUUGAUACUGAAGAUCUUGAGUUCGGGAGAGGUGAGUGGAACUGCGAGUGUAGAGGUGAAAUUCGUAGAUAUUCGCAAGAACACCAGUGGCGAAGGCGGCUCACUGGCCCGAUACUGACGCUGAGGCACGAAAGCGUGGGGAGCAAACAGG
rnacentral:rRNA from 1 species